UGGCCCGCCCCUUCCUCCGCUCCGCGCCCGCAGCCGCCGCCGGGGAUCCGCGAGCGCAGCUCCGCCAUGCCGAAACACGAGUUCUUCGUGGACAUGACCUGUGAAGGCUGUUCCAAUGCAGUCACUCGUGUCCUGCAGAAACUGGGAGGUGUCAGCUUUGAUAUUGACCUGCCCAACAAGAAGGUCUGUAUUGACUCGGAGCACAGCGUUGACACCCUGUUGGAAACCCUCAAGAAAACUGGAAAGAAUGCCUCCUACCUCGGGGAGAAGUCUGCUUAGUGUCCUUGCCUCGUGUGAGGAGCUAGGAACUCAAACAUUACUUCAGCAAAAAGAUGUCUUAACUGUCUGCGUGUCUCCCAGUUUGCUGUGUCACCCGACCUUUGCCAGAUGUCAGAAAGCAGAGGGCUGGCGGGAGGAGACAGCUGGGCCUCGGCCUCUAGAAGUGGAAAGGUCUGGAGGAGGAGCAGAACUUUUUCCCCUCUUGGAAAGCACCAGCCCAGAUCUGCCCAGCCUGGCUCAAAGCAGGAUGAAGAAAUUUGGAUUUUGAACUGGGGUUAGCUGGAGUUCAAACCUCACCCCUCCAGACCUCUUGGCUUUGCUGUAAAAUGAUCUCAAGCCUCGAAGGGUCUUGCCCUGUUUGCUGUUUCCAUCGGAGUUCGUGCAGUCACUUGAGCUGGGAGCGAGCGCCGGGAGCCCUGGGGUUCAUCUGCUAUGCCCAAAGCACCCACUGGCACAUGGUCAGGAGCCUGAACUGGACCUGCUGCAGCCCUGCCAGGGUUCCUGGGGCUAAGGAGGCCCCUGGGGCAAUCUCCUGCCCAUCCCAUGCCCAGAUGGCAUAAGACAGCUUUCUAAAUACGUGUGAGGUCCGGUUUUGCUCCUUGCAGCCCGAAACUAAAAUCUCCUCUUUGGUGACCCCACUAAGCCUCACAAGAGUGGAAAGGACUUUCCAGGACUUUCUCUGCAAGCUCUCAGUCAUUUCUGGAGCUCUUUAAAGCUGCUGAGUUUAGAGCUAGCCAGUAGCUCCAGGCUCUUUGUGAUCCCCCUCCAUCCCACUGCUGAUGCCUGGUAAUGUGUCCUUGCCAAGGUGCAGGACCUGGCUGUCCCCACCAUGUGUGUGGAUCACGGUGAGCACCCCUCACUCCCACCCCCCUGGGCUCGCUGGAUGAGCUUGGGGGCCAUUUCCAGAUGUGAUUGUAUCGCUGCUUUUUGCUCUCACUCAGAACCAGGGUCUAAGCCACCACAUCCAUAAAGAAAUCCCUGCUAUAAUUAUCUCCGUGGCACUAUCAUUUGUUUAAGCCCUUAGCAGAGAGCUUAACUUCAGCCUACAGUGCAGAGCAAUUGCCACGUUGUCAGUUAGAAAAGUCGUGGUUUCUUUUCUCUUCUUUUUUUUUUUUCCCCUCUCUAAAAUUUUUUCCAGAUGUCUUUUUUUUUUUUUUUUUUCCUUAGGAGAAGAACCAGCAGCGGUGCAGUUUCAAUGCGAGCCGUGACUAAUCCACUGCAGAGAGCAUUCAACAGCUCUGUUCAACACCUUGAGUUAUGACUCAAGCAAAUGAAACUUUGGCUCGGGGGAUGUGUGACCUCUAGAGCCAAACUGGACCUGCAAGGGGCACUGGGCUGCAGCUGGCAUCUACGGACACCGGUGGUGGGAGGACAUGGUGCUCCAGCUGGUUGCAUUAGAAAGACCCAUGGAGUCUUAGACACCAUCAUAAAUCCAGCCUCCACAGGGACCUGGGAGGGUCAUGUGGAAUAUUUCUGGAUGUCUCUGUGAGUGGUAUCAACAUCCACAUAUCAGCACCCAGGGAUGGCUUUUGGGAAGUGUGCAGCCGAGUAAAGAAAUGGGUGAAGGAGAUUUUCUUUUGUUCUUUUCCACCAGCCUCCAGAGCUGCCUCAUCACAGAGACUGACCUGUUCACUGGGAAGUGGUGUUGGGUUUUCAUUAACCUCUCCCCCAUUGUUUCCCCUCUGCCUUCCCUUUCUCUUCUGUUUAUAUUUCGUUCCUUGUUGGCCAUGGGAUGUUUAGUCUUACAUCUGAUCUCUCACAUGCAGCAGAAGUGCUGCGGGGCUGGAUGGGGAGUGAGCUGAUACAGAGCCACAGACACAAAGGCAUCCUAGCCAGCAAGGAGCCAGCACAGCCUGGCAGGUCAUCAUGGGCCAGGCCCUGUGUUGACAUCUAAAUCCUCAGCAACAUCAGGGGGAAUAGUUAAGCACUCAGGUCCGUGCCUCAGCCCUCUCAAAGAUAGUGCAUAAUCAAGAAUGUGCCCAAAGCCCAUGCAGCCAAGACAAAACACGAUGUUGAAUAUUGCUAUGAUCUCGAGUGUCCUUCAGCAGGCAUCUACAAUCACACUGCUGGUGCCCAGAUGUCCUCAGUCCUGCUGGCUACAUGAGACAUCAUCUUUCCAGCAACCCCUGGAGAGCAGCCCUGGGGUGGGCUCUGAUGCCACAGGAGGAUCACAAGCUGCAAAGAGCUGGAUUAUCCACAGGGCUCUGUGCUGUAUGGAGAUAUUC